GCAUCGGUGGUUCAGUGGUAGAUUGCUCGCCUGCCACGCGGGCGGCCAGGGUUCGAUUCCCGGCCGAUGCA
rnacentral:tRNA from 1 species